UCCCUGGUGGCUCAGAGGUUAAAGCGUCUGCCUGGAAUGCAGGAGACCCAGGUUCGAUCCCUGGGUCGAGAA
rnacentral:tRNA from 1 species